ACGCUUGAAGUCAGUCGCGUCGUCCGGGGAUCAACCUUGCAAUUUAUUGCUAGGGUGCAUUUUCCGGUUGACGGGUCAACAUCAAUUUUGACCGUUGGAUAAAGGCUUGGGGAAUGUGGCAUCUUCGGAUGUGUUAUAGCCCUUGGUCGCAUACAACGGUUGGGAUUGAGGAACUCAGCACGCCGAAAGGCCGGGUUUUUAACCACGUUCGUGCUUAGGAUGUUGGCAUAAUGGCUUUAAUCGACCCGUCUUGAAACACGGACCAAGGAGUC
rnacentral:rRNA from 1 species